AUCAUAGGUAAAUUGUGCUCAUGCAAUGAAUGAACCCAGGUAGAAGCUAGCUUUAGGAUGCUAUUCUGAAGGCUUUAAACAAAUGUGACUGCAGCAGUAAAUCAGUAAAAAAAAGCACAUUAGUUACAAUAAAGCACAGUGCAGUAAUUUCAUUUCUAGCCAUUGAGCUCAUCUCACGCCUUGCUGUCUUGUUUUCUUUUGUCCCUAGAUUUUGUGUUUUCUUUUAAUUAAGCGUGUUCAGUCUAUUUCUUUAAGUCUGUCCUCUUGUAUAUCGUCAAAUUGCCAGUCUUUCUGAUUGUUAUGAGAAUCUUCAGGCAGAAGGAAAUUAAGUUUAAUAUUUACUCUUUCUACACUACAGCAAGACAUCGUUUGCAGCCAAAAUGCCUCAAGGGGCUUAGAGCAGCUUCUGACAAAGGAGAUGAUUCAAAGUACACAGCUUGAAUGGCUGCCUCCAUGGCUACACAGCAUUUCUCAUUUCUCUUAUGACAGGAAGAACUGUACUGACAUAAAGACUGAGAGUGAUGUGGAAGCCCUUAGGCCCGAGGGAAGGAGAGCGCUUAUGUGGAAAUCAAGAAGAGGAUCCCCCUAAAUGAGGAAAAGUCCCUGGAAAAUCAUGCUCUAUGAGUGUGAGUUAGGGUAAUUAGUACGAACAGUUGUGCGCCCUACUAAUGAGAGACAGUGUGGGCUUACUAUCCCCUGUGAGUGAGACUCACCUAUAAAGAACUUUCAUUCAUGUGAGAAACGUGUUCAUACACAAGUCUGCAAUUUACAAUAUUUAAGCUAUUUCUGUUUUAAAGGUUCAGUUUAGCAAUACAUUUCAAGUUAUUGCAGACAAAAUUGGGAAGCAUGUGUUCAUCUGUCGCUUUAGUUUAAGAACAGCAGGAGGCUAUGUAAAAUAUAUGUUGUAGCAUUAGAUAAGUCUAUUCUUACAGAUCAGGCACAUAAUGGCUUUUAAAACUACAGUGCUCUGGGCUUCUCUUGCGUCGGUCAUUAUUAUAUCUUUACUACUGAACAAUCACACAAGACUUUGUAGCAAAGAGCAAAAACUCUUAGGGGUUUACUGUGAAUCUCUUUCAGUGGGAAGUGUUGCAAUUGUUGUCAAUAUAAAGUAAUCUGCAGCAAUCCCCUGGCUCAUGUGCUGCAGUCAAAAAGUCUAUAGUAAUGGAAACAGUAGAAAUCAAAUCGACUCCAUGACAAAUGCAAUAGAGUGCUCUGUUAAAGAAAGACAAAAUCUCAGCAAUAUUACAGGGUACAUAGUUUUAAGAGCAAGUAUUAGCCACUGCAUUACAUACUUCUAAAACAGAAGUAAAGAACCUUUCAAAGUUUCCUUUCAAACAUGUCCUGCUGACUGAUUUCCCUGGCUGAUCAGGAAAGAUGGUGCCAAUAUUCAUUGCAGGAUGCCAGCCAAUUCCCACCUGGUGGCCUGGCAACUAGCAGCUCAGCAGACCUGACAGGGGACUGCAGUUUGCUUGAGUGAGGGCAAAGGUCUCUUUCUUACUGACAAUAAGGGCAUAUCUAUAGCUCAUUUAUAACACAGACAUAUACGUAAACUGUGAGGAGAUUCAGUAAAGAUUAUAUUUUUAAAGAUAUUGAUUUAAUUUUUAACUUAUACUUAGACUAGGCAUUUUGACAACAAAUACCAGAAAUAAUGCCAACCAGAAAACAUUUGCCACAAUUGCUUCUGAUUGCACUUGAAUUUUCUGAUGCACUAGAAGUUUUUCUUUUAUUGCAGAAGUUUCCUUUAGACUUUAAUAGUAAAGCAACCUGAGUAUUCUUAAGAACUCCUAAGAAUUCUUGAGUAAGUGGAGUGUUAGAAUUCCAUUCAAACAAACGCUGCCACACCCACUGGUUUGAAUGCAUCUCGGCAGGUCUAAGAUCCUGAACUUCUAAAAAUGCCAGCGAGAAGACAUGAGAAAAAUUGAUAAACAUUCAGUUUGCAGAAGAAAUAUUUUUUUUCCACAUCACUAAAAAAAAAUCAGUCCUUCAGUGUAAAUGCUGGUAUAGCUGCAAAUUUAGCUGCUCAAUGAACAUAAUAUAUUUUCUUGUAAAGUUGAUCAUUUAUAUUGAAAGUAUUUCCACAGUUCAGGGUCACUGAACAUAUUCCUCUGAGUUGCAAAGCUGCUAUUUUAUUAUUGACGCAGUGUGUAGCAGAGUAAAGUGCUUCUAGUUGGCGGUAUCAGUACUGCUCAGUCUCUCUGAGACUUUGAGAGAACGACACAGAGUAAACAGUGUCAACCAAAUGCAAAACCUACUAAAACCUGUACAGCAAAACCUGUAAAUCUAUUUUUGUGUUUUUGAAUUGUUUAUGGAAGAAAACUGCCUUUGUUUUUCCACCUGCUGCUGCCAGCUGAAAUAAAAGGCAUUUUUCUUUAAGAAACUUUUGCUGUCCUGAAAAUUACCCUGUGUGAACCUGCCACAUUUGGAGGUCUGCUAUUAAACCACUGAGUGGUCCGUGGUUGUUAUACGAAGUUUUUUUGUAAAAUUUAAUGCAACAGCAAGAUUGUCAGAUCCAAUGGGGCAACUUGCUCCCUUUUCUGCUCUUUUUUGCUUUCUGGGAAGUCCCACACACCUCUUUAGUAGGAAAAAAAGUUGUGGAGUAACAAGCAUGAAAAACGAAAUGCUAAGGGGUGCCCAAUAAGGACUGUGAUUGGCUAUUUGGUUGUUCCAUUUAGACUGGAAGCCGACAGGAGGUCGCAAGUGCACAUGGUUUUUAUGACUCUAAAACUUGUCUUUAAUUCAGAAAUUCAAAAAUAAGCUCCUGCUUUGAGGCUUCUGGGAACAACUUUAAUGGGGUUUUUGAGCAACAUGUUGCCCACAAGCCAUUGGGAUCACUGCUCUCUGCCUGUCUCCCUGGAGUUAUUAAGGUUGUGUGUGGGGCUAUAGAGAACAGCUUUCCCACAAAAAGUCAUACAAUUAUUUUCAGUAUAUCCAUAUCAUCUAUUGUACAAGUGUCACAUUUUGAUGAAUGUAUAUAUUCUCUGCCAAGCUGUUGCACUCCAGCACCUCACUGUUUGUUACAUCGUGGUGUAAAAAUUCAUGGCAAGAAUUUCUGUGCUGGGUGACAGCAGUGCUUAAUUAUACACUGUCACAUCCUGCACUCAAGUAACCCGGAUAUAAUUAUAUUACAAUGAAAUCAUGUAAUGAUGGAAUAGCUGAAAAACCAGUUAUUGGCCUUAGUAUGAAAGGACCCUGGUUAAUAAUACAGUUUCUAGAAUUCAUGUAAUAUUUAACCUAUUUAGAAAAUCCUUUAAUAUACAGCUUGUACAUUUAAGAGUAUAUCCACCCAAAAACAGUUUUUUGUUUUUUCUUGCUUAAUGAAAUGCAGUUUAAUUCAGAUAUCCAAUAUAUAUGUUAUAGUUAUUUGUAAACGUUAUUGAUGGCAGAUCUUACAAUUCUCUCCUCUCCUUUCCCAGAGUACUCAUGCCGUUGCUUUCCCCCCACAAAGCUUGUGUAUUCUAUAGAUCUGUGAAGAACAGACAUUUGCAAGGCAUUGUGAAAACUAGAGUCUUGACUUGAGGGAAAGCGAUUUCGGAUAGAUAAUGGUGGUGGUGGUCAAUUACAAGUGCAGUUGUGGCUGUACAAAUUUCAUUAAAGAUACUUGUGCCAAAAAGUGAUCCAUGUAGCUGUCCCUGCUGCUGCUCAAUCUGUCCUGCCUGCUGCUCUAAAUCUUGUGCAAGUGCCCCUACUGACAGAGGUGAAUCACUGCGCCACUACUGAAGGUGGCAGUAGCUCCAGGGGUCCCGGAGCGGUCUGCACGUCGAAGUUGGAAAUGUUAUUUUUGUCACAUGUUAUUUUACCACAAUACCAUUUGCUUUGCCCCAUCGCAAUUAUGCUAGAAUUAUGGGCGCAGCGCUGCAUUGUGGGUAAAAAAGGAUGGCGACUUGUGCCCAAAAUUGCACUUUGCACAUGCACUUGUGGUCAUAAAUGACUCCCAUUACUCACAUGCAUUAACAAAGGACAGACAGAAGCAACUUUCAACUGCAGUUUCAUAAUAAAUGAGAUUGUUGAGAAUUUUUUCAUGAAUACAUGAAACUGGCUUAUUUAUUCAGGUGUAUAUUUAAAGGGGAACUCCAUCUUCCAAACCAUAGUUUGUUAACUAGACCCACACAAUACAGAA